rnacentral:rRNA from 1 species
UACAGAGGGGGCAAGCGUUAUUCGGAAUUAUUGGGCGUAAAGGGCGCGUAGGCGGCUUGGCAAGUGGAAGGUGAAAUCCCUCGGCUUAACCGAGGAACUGCCCUCCAAACUGCUUCGCUUGAGACCGGGAGAGGUGAGUGGAAUUCCCAGUGUAGCGGUGAAAUGCGUAGAUAUUGGGAGGAACACCAGUGGCGAAGGCGGCUCACUGGACCGGUACUGACGCUGAGGCGCGAAAGCGUGGGUAGCAAACGGG